rnacentral:rRNA from 1 species
GCUGGGGUGGCUGGAGAAGAAAAGAUCUUCUUUUUUUUGGUUAGUGUCUGGUUUUUUUGAUCCGGAAUUUUCGAAAAAGGACUAAGUUACCACAGGGAUAACAGCGUGAUUUCUUUAGAGAGUUCUUAUUAAUAAAGAAGUUUGCGACCUCGAUGUUGACUUUUAUUUUCCUUUUGGAGCAGGAAUUGAAAGGGUGGGUCUGUUCGACCCUUAAAAAUAAACGUGAGUUGAGUUCAGACCGGUGUGAGCCAGGUUGGUUUCUAUCUUCGAUGUUGUGCUUAUUAGUACGAAAGGAUUGUGAGUAUUUAAUUAUUAAAGAAAAUGGAAGG